CUUGAGCCAGAGAGAGCAGAUCAAAGCUGCCUGCAGAUCAAAGCUGUGGCACCCCAACUGGAUGUUUGUAAAGAGGGACCGAGGCUUCGCCUGCCUUUUGCAAAGGGCAACAAACUGUACCACGGUGGGAGGUGGGGGAACACAGGCCUACCGAAGAGGCGUCGCUGAAAAAAACGAAGCUGCAAUAUUUUAGCUGCAGGAAGCAAACGCUGGCAUCCCUCUGCCUCUCCUUCUUCCUGGUAGCAGUUGUUGGUCCCCUGUUCACUGAAACUCCAGCCUUCAAUGACAAGCGUUACUUAACGUAUCCCUCUUGUCAUCUUAUUCUGAACUCGCCUUUGGGGAAAAAAAUGGGAACAUAGCACAGUGCAGCACUUGCACAGUGCAGGAAGGAUGACAUUUACUGGCAAUAGCAUGUAUAAGAAUAAAGGCCUCAAGGUCUCGGAUAGCUGCAACAAUAUUUAUGCAAGUGCUAAAACGAGUGGUUUCAAGCAACAAAAACAUGAACAGAGAACUGACAGUGUGGGCCUGACAAAAGGAGGUUACUUCUAAUGCAGCUGGGGCAGCGGAUCUGGACCCGUUUCCACAAUGUCUCUCCAGACCACACGUCUAUAAUCAAAAGCCGCCUUUUUUAACCCAGCCUUCUGCUUCACAGACUGCGUCACCACCUUCUCUACAGAGAGGAGGAGGGGAUUGAAUGGCUGCAGAACUUUAAACACACCUGAAAGUGAAUUACGCCACAGAACUCCAUCGCCUUGACCUGGCAUUUGCAUUUAGUCUACUGCUGUAACUUGGUACCAGUUUACAUGUCCAAGUAAGGGACCUUACACAGUCUUGUGUGACAGAUGUCCAAGGACCUACAGCUUUGGUAAAUCCCUUCUUUGCCCCACAUCCCUGCUGCCAUGUGCCAGGUCUGAUGCUGUAACACGGCAUUGCAACAAAUUCUGGUUGACUCCAAAUCAUCCCAGCUAUGGCUCACAGGACUGCAUUUACCUUGCUCAAACACUGUUCUCUUAACAAAUGUGGACUAUGUCAUCUAAAAUGAGGAUGAGCUCCCCAUUUAACAAACACACAGACAAGUAACUUGUUUCUUACCUCGAUUUGUUUUUAAAAUAUUCUCCUUUUCCCCACCCAAAUAUAAUGAACAUUGUGGAAAGGUUAAGGUCAGAAAUAGAUGGAUUCUCUAAGUUAGCAGACUGGAAAUAUUCAAAGAAUGAAAUCAGCAGAACCGAAGCCAGCUCUAAUAGCUUUCAUCUGUUAUGUUUGCCUUCUUUCACUAAUCUAAUGCCCAUGUUUUUGCAGAACAGGAGUUAAACAACUUUUUUCUUUCCAGAUUUAUGAGUAAUAUGUAGCAAAUCUGGAAGAUCAUUCACGCAAACAGUAGCUUUCCAAACCUCAGAAGCAUUCAUCUUCAACAAAAACUCUAUGUGGGGUUUUUCAGGAGUGUCGGAGCCCUCGUGUAAGCGCAGCUAUUGAUUUCACCUUUAGAGCAGCAAUUUAAGAUAUAUAUGCAGUGUCAAUGUUGCUGUUAAUGAAACUUAUCUUUCCCUACUCAGUAUUCUGAGUAUUUUCUUGUAUAUAGAAAUUGGAGGAAGUUACAAAUUAUGCUGCAGUACGCGUAGGUGAUGCAUUACAAAAGAUAAUCAUAUUUUACGGAGCAUCAUUCAUCUUGAGAGAUGACGAACGGCUUCUGAAACAUUUGCAUGGCACACGUGUCCUAAUGCAAUGGCAAAAAAAAGAGACAACACGAGGAUUCCUCUGCUCUUCCAACAUCUACACAAAAGCCAGUAGACCGCUGGUUAACCCAGCUGGCUUUGUAUUCCAGGCUCUUUUCUCCUUCCUAUUCCUAUUUAUCUGUGUGUAGCUAACUUCUCAAAGUCAAACCGAUGAUGUAUUGCAGAAGGCAGCAGCAUUUAACACAGCACCGGGAUUCCUGAAUGUCUUUGUCACCCACACAACACCAGAGCCCUAGCAAUAUUAAUGGAUACCUCCCCGAGGCAAUGUUAAAACGGCCCCGAGAACCCUCUGUCGAGGGCAAAGCCAGUUGUGGGGCAAUCCAUCAGAGCAGCACCAGGGACCCCCGGCUCUGACGGGCUCCAGCAGGCGGCUGGGAGGGCAGGUGCCCCCAUACCCCACUGCUCCUUUCUGCCACGAGCCUACAGCCACAUGCAAGGGAGCCCUCUGGGAAGCACUCACACAGCAUUUCAGCAUUUUUUGCCACCUGGGGAUGUAACAUCCCUUCAGUUUAUUUCAGUUCCCACAUUAUUGUGUUUCAUACAGGCUUCUGGCUUUAGCCUACAGUAAAAGCUGUAACACUUCACAAAUCUUGUCCACAAGGCAGACAAAAACUCCUAGGAAGGUUAGAAAAGUAGGAUUAUAUACUUUCCGUGGUGAUCUAUUUGAAGUAAAUCAGAGACCUUCAUCCAUGAACACAGAGUACGUGAAGGCUCCAGC